CCUACGGGAGGCAGCAGUGGGGAAUAUUGCACAAUGGGCGCAAGCCUGAUGCAGCAACGCCGCGUGAGGGACGACGGCCUUCGGGUUGUAAACCUCUUUUAGUAGGGAAGAAGCGAAAGUGACGGUACCUGCAGAAAAAGCACCGGCUAACUACGUGCCAGCAGCCGCGGUAAUACGUAGGGUGCAAGCGUUAUCCGGAAUUAUUGGGCGUAAAGAGCUCGUAGGCGGUUUGUCGCGUCUGCUGUGAAAACCUGGAGGCUCAACCUCCAGCCUGCAGUGGGUACGGGCAGACUAGAGUGCGGUAGGGGAGAUUGGAAUUCCUGGUGUAGCGGUGGAAUGCGCAGAUAUCAGGAGGAACACCGAUGGCGAAGGCAGAUCNCUGGGCCGUAAACUGACGCUGAGGAGCGAAAGCAUGGGGAGCGAACAGGAUUAGAUACCCUGGUAGUCCAUGCGUAACGUAGGUACGUAGAUAGUAGGACGACUACUACGUUACGUUGUGUCGUCGACGCUACG
rnacentral:rRNA from 1 species